UGCCACCCUUCUCAGUGCCACGGGGCCCUGCGGAAACCAGGGGUGCGGAUGCCGUUCGGAACGUGCGCCCCGAAAAAGCCACGCGGCGGAUACCUCUAGAGCUCCGGAGCCGACGCUGCUGAGCGACGGCCGGCCGGUGCCCGAGGGUGCCGCGGAACAGUGGAAAGAGAGUUAUGGUGUUAUGGUGAUCAGCCGCAUAAACUGCGCUCUAGACGGCCUUAAAGGGUGAAAAAACCUGUCUUCGUAGUUGCCAGUGAUGAUGGAGCAGUGUCUCACCGAUGGAGGAGUCGUGGGAUGGCUCGUAAACGUGCGGGCGCCAGGGACGCUUUGGAGGGACUAGGAAGAUGAAAUCAAAAGGAAAAAAGGAGAAAGAUCCCCCCUGCAAAUCCAGAUCCCCCCUGCAAAUCCAGAUCCCCCCUGCAAAUCCAUGCACCGGUUCAUCUGCUCGGCUGCUGCUGCUUGACAGAGAAAAAGCAGAAUUCGUACCGGCUCCCGAGACUCCCCGCUGAAGAACCCGGCCCUCCUCGCGACGCCCGAUGCGGCGGACGUCGGGGGAAAAGCCGAGCCUGGAGUGAAAAAGAGACGAAACUGCUUCCCGGUCUAAGGACGAGGCUGGAUGCCAACCCUGUUCCACAAAGUUCAAGGAGAAGCUGGAUGUCCUGUUUGAUCGCUUGUGACCAUUUGUACCACAGAUCUUCUCUGUUGUAUCCUGACCAGAGGCAGAAGUGAAUCCUCAGGUCUCCAGAGAAGUAACCCACAUUUCAUCGAUAAUUUUACCGACAAAUAUUAUCCACAUAUUUGUUACUAUGGCCUAAAGAAAUUACUCACGUGAGACGCUUACGGCCGAGGUCACGUGGGGUUCAAAGCAGAAGUAACUGCCUAGCGAAGAACAUGGAAACUCAUCAGCUGCAGAGACGAGCAGACGGCCCAAAGAGCAGAAGAGCGAGCACGCCGAUGUGAACCGUAUCGAGACCGCAGUUGACGGCUGAACACCUUUGAUCCCGCAUGACAGAGCGAUGAACUUUGGGUUUCGUGUGAAAGAGUAGGAAAAUCGAUAUUGUAAAGCCUCAUUUGUUAAAGCGUGGUGUGAACUGUGUCAAGAUUCAGAAACCUGCAUGAGAGAUAAAGUCCUUGAAGAUGAAGGUGAAUCAGAGAGAUCAGAGAUGUUAAGAGAGACACCGGGGUUUCUGAUAAGCCCCCGGAAGGGAUAAGGCGAGGCACGUACGACACGAGAGGUACGAAAGGCACGGAAGGCACGGUAGAAAAGUGACGCGACACACCCCGGGAUUGCUCUGUCCUGCGCACCUCAGCACUGUGAGCCAAAGUGAGGAAUUCCCUUGAGGUAGCCUAAGGGGCCACAGCUUGGACCGCCACAUCUCCAAAGCUGACUCGAAAAUCCUUGGGCACGAGUGCUUACCUGGCACACCGCUUUCAUGCCCCUCUGUGUAGGUCUUGGACUUCGACUUAGCUCUCAUAUGCGUGGGGACGAGAAGCCACGUGGGGCACAAGGGAAGGCCGCCUCACCGUCUGGCACGUUUCUGGCAGGCUGUUGUCUCUUGGACAGGUACAAUAAAGAAAACCAAAUAUCAGUGCAAGAUCUUAGCAGCACAUCUGUGAAAACCCAACACUCACGGUCUCCUGACAAUGGCUGGGUCCUUCGCCUGCAUGCUUCAGCCCCGCUGGGAUGCUGAGGCUUGCGGAGCGAAACUCUUCGACCGGUAUUGCUGUGGAUCCGAACGAACCGCCGCCUUGAUGAGAUUGAGGGCACUGAGGCGGGACUGCCAAGAUGGAAUCAAAAGGGAAAAGCAGAAAGAUCAGCCCUGCAAAUCCACACUGGCUCACCUGUUCAGCUGCUGUUUCCUGGCAAAAAGCUUUGUCCCUCACCACCUCCUCUGAGCAAUGCUCCGGGUCCAAGUGCAUCCUGGUGCUCCCCCAGACCCUAUGAGAUGCUCCCACCGUCAUGUUGGAGGCUGAGAUACAGAGUGUGUGCCCUUGUUUUUAAUAUUUAGUUCUAGGAUUCAAGGAAACACUGAAUUUCAUAUAAUAUGAAAUUCAUGUGCAUGUUUUCAUGGUGACACAUGAAAACAAAUGUUAAAGUUAGAUAGGAAAAGUGUAAAUGUGCUGAUUAGAAAGUUUCUUAAAUCACUGGGUGAAAAAGUAGUUUAGAGAACAGGAGACAAGAUGGAGGAUUUAGGGUGUUGUCUCUUGUCCUUCUUUCUUCUUCAUGUUCGUCUCCUAGGGGUGUUUGGGUAGUAGUAGGUAAUUGGGUAGAAAAUGUCACAGUGCAGCACACAGGUGUUGGGUCACUGGGUCACUAAGAAAAAUAAUUUAGUUGGCACCUGUUAAUUUGGUAAAUGGAUAUAUAAAAGACCUUGAGGAAGAUCUUUGUUAGCCAUUUUACCCCUUUUCUAUCAUA